GGGGAAUAUUGCACAAUGGGCGCAAGCCUGAUGCAGCCAUGCCGCGUGUGUGAAGAAGGCCUUCGGGUUGUAAAGCACUUUCAGCGAGGAGGAAGGGUAGUGUGUUAAUAGCACAUUGCAUUGACGUUACUCGCAGAAGAAGCACCGGCUAACUCCGUGCCAGCAGCCGCGGUAAUACGGAGGGUGCAAGCGUUAAUCGGAAUUACUGGGCGUAAAGCGCACGCAGGCGGUUUGUUAAGUCAGAUGUGAAAUCCCCGCGCUUAACGUGGAACUGCAUUUGAAA
rnacentral:rRNA from 1 species